CCUACGGGUGGCAGCAGUGGGGAAUAUUGGACAAUGGGCGAAAGCCUGAUCCAGCCAUGCCGCGUGUGUGAAGAAGGCCUUCGGGUUGUAAAGCACUUUCAGUGGGGAAGAAAGCCUUGGGGCUAAUACCCUCGAGGAAGGACAUCACCCACAGAAGAAGCACCGGCUAACUCCGUGCCAGCAGCCGCGGUAAUACGGAGGGUGCGAGCGUUAAUCGGAAUUACUGGGCGUAAAGCGCGCGUAGGCGGUCUGAUAAGCCGGUUGUGAAAGCCCCGGGCUCAACCUGGGAACGGCAUCCGGAACUGGCAGGCUAGAGUGCAGGAGAGGAAAGUAGAAUUCCCGGUGUAGCGGUGAAAUGCGUAGAGAUCGGGAGGAAUACCAGUGGCGAAGGCGGCCUUCUGGACUGACACUGACGCUGAGGUGCGAAAGCGUGGGUAGCAAACAGGAUUAGAUACCCGAGUAGUC
rnacentral:rRNA from 1 species